rnacentral:rRNA from 1 species
AUGGGGGAGGAGGAGGAGCAGAGGAACAAUGGCGGCGACGGGGGCGGGAGGAAGGGCGGGACCAACAAGUACGCGGUGGCCUGCUCCAUCAUCGGCUCCAUCAUCUCCAUCCUCAUGGGCUACGACAGCGGCGUGAUGAGCGGCGCGAUGCUGUUCAUCAAGGAGGACCUCAAGACCAACGACACGCAGCUGCAGGUGCUCGCCGGCAUCCUCAACGUCUGCGCGCUCGUGGGAUCCCUCACCGCCGGCCGCGUCUCCGACUGGGUCGGUCGCCGCCUCACCAUCUCGCUCGCCGCAUGCAUCUUCCUCGCGGGCUCCGUCCUCAUGGGCCUCGCGCCCAACUACGCCACGCUCCUAGUCGGCCGCUGCGUCGCCGGCGUCGGCGUCGGGUACGCUCUCAUGAUCGCGCCCGUCUACGCCGUCGAGAUCGCGUCGGCGGAGAUCCGCGGCUCGCUCACCUCGCUCCCCGAGAUCUGCAUCAGCUUCGGCAUCCUCAUCGGCUACGUGGCCAACUACUUCCUCGCCAAGCUGCCGCUGGUCUACGGCUGGCGCACCAUGCUGGGGCUCGGCGCGCUCCCCAGUGCCGCGCUCGCCGUCGGCGUCCUGGCCAUGCCGGAGUCGCCCCGGUGGCUCGUCAUGCAGGGCCGGGCCGAGGAGGCGCUCGUUGUUCUCCGGAAAGUCUGCAACACGGCGGAGGAGGCCGACGUGCGGCUCGCGGACAUCAAGAGCGCCGCGGGGUUCAUCGAGGGCGACGCCGCGCCCGUGCCUCGCGGCGGCGGCGAGGGCGUGAUGAAGGAGAUGUUCCUGCACCCGACGCCGGCCGUCCGUCGCAUCCUCGUGGCCGCCCUAGGCGUCCACUUCUUCCAGCAUCUGACGGGCAUCGAGGCGGUGGUGCUGUACAGCCCGCGGAUCUUCAAGGCGGCCGGCAUCGCCACCCGGAACCAGAUCCUGGCGGCGACCAUCGGCGUGGGCGUGACCAAGACGGUGUUCAUCAUGGUGGCGAUCCUGCUCGUGGACCGCGUCGGCCGGCGGCCGCUCUACCUCUCCAGCCUCGCCGGCAUCAUCGCGUCGAUGGCCUGCCUGGGCCUGGGCCUCACCGUGAUCGAGCGGUCGGCGCCACGCCACGGCGCGCCGUGGGCGGUGGCGCUGGCCAUCGCCGCGGUGUUCACCUUCGUGGCGGCCUUCUCCAUCGGCGUGGGGCCCAUCACGUGGGCCUACAGCUCGGAGGUGUACCCGCUCCGGCUGCGCGCGCAGGGCGCCAGCGUCGGCGUGGCCAUCAACCGCAUAAUGAACGCCGGCGUGUCCAUGACCUUCGUCACCCUGUACAAGGCGAUCACCAUCGGCGGCGCCUUCUUCCUCUUCGCGGGCCUGGCGGUGGUGGCCGCCGCCUUCUUCUACUUCUUCUGCCCGGAGACGCAGGGCAGGGCGCUGGAGGAGAUCGAGGAGGUGUUCAGCCGCGGGUGGCGCGCGCGGCAGAGGCAGCAGGCGCCGUCGCCGUCGUCGGUGGAGCUGCCGCCGGUGCCCGACAGCAAGGCGCGGCCGUGA